rnacentral:rRNA from 1 species
UGUGUCAGAAUGUGUCUGUAUAGACGAAUCUGCGGACGGCUCAUUACAACAGUGAUCACAUAUUUGACGUUUUGAAAACGGAUAUCCGUGGGAAACCAAGGCUAAUACGGGUGAAAACCGGGGCUUUUUGUUCCGCGGUAUUUCCUGCUUAUUAAACCAAACGCGCUUUCGGGCGUGUGCGAGGAAUCGCAGGAACUUUUCGAAUCGAAUUAUCGAUGCGUCAUUUUGGUUUCUGACCUAUCAGCUUCCGACGGUAGGAUAUUGGCCUACCGUGGCAAUGACGGGUAACGGGGAAUUAGGGUUUGAUUCCGGAGAGGGCGCCUGAGAAAUGGCGACCACGUCUAAGGAUGGCAGCAGGCGCGCAAAUUACCCAAUCCUGGCAUAGGGAGGUAGUGACAAAAAAUAGCAACUCAAAGCAAACGCUUUGCAGAUUGCAAUGACAUUCGGCCAAAGCUCGUUUAGAGUAACAAUUGGAGGGCAAGUCUGGUGCCAGCAGCCGCGGUAAUUCCAGCUCCAAUAGCGUAUAUUAAAUUUGUUGCAGUUAAAAAGCUCGUAGUUGAAACGAUACGUUUGCUUCGCUGUUCUUUUCAGGGCGCGGAGCUUGCGCGGGCUUUUCGAAAGCCUCUGUUACUUUGAGAAAAUUUGAGUGUUUCAGGCGGGCCAGAGCUGAAAUAGUGUACCAUGGAAUAACACAGUGGUUGUCCCUCUCUUUCUUUGGUUUUGGACGGGACGAUGCGUGGUUGAUAGGAACAGUCGGGGGCAUUCGUAUUGAACAGUCAGAGGUGAAAUUCUUAGAUUUGUUCAAGACGAACUAAUGCGAAAGCAUCUGCCAAGGAUGUUUUCUUUAAUCAAGAACGAAAGUUAGGGGAUCCAAGACGAUCAGAUACCGUCGUAGUCUUAACUGUAAACUAUGCCGACUAGAGAUCGGUGGACAUCAUUACGGAGUCCUUCGGCACCUUAUGCGAAAUCAAAGCUAGGUUCUGGGGGGAGUAUGGUCGCAAGGCUGAAACUUAAAGGAAUUGACGGAAGGGCACCACCAGGAGUGGAGCCUGCGGCUUAAUUUGACUCAACACGGGAAAACUCACCAGGUCCAGACGUGGGAAGGAUUGACAGAUUGAGAGCUCUUUCUUGAUUCUACGGGUGGUGGUGCAUGGCCGUUCUUAGUUGGUGGAUUGAUUUGUCUGGUUGAUUCCGACAACGAACGAGACCUUCGCCGUUUAAUAGAAACGUUUUCUGAGGAUGGCGUUUUCUUCUUAACGGGACCUUGUGCGUCUAGCACAAUGAAGUGAAGGCAAUAACAGGUCUGUGAUGCCCUUAGAUGUUCUGGGCUGCACGCGUGCUACAAUGGCGCUUGCAACAAGACUGCCAACCCGAAAGGGUGAGCGGAUCUUUGAAGUGGCGUCGUGAUCGGGACAGUUGAUUGCAAUUAUUCGACUCGAACGAGGAAUUCCUUGUAAUCGCGAUUCAUUAUAUCGCGCUGAAUACGUCCCUGCCCUUUGUACACACCGCCCGUCGCUCCUACCGAUUGAGCGAUCCGGUGAAUGUUUUGGACUGGUGUCGGAAGCGUUAGCUUCGGACGCUACGAAAUUUCGUAAACCUUAUCGCUUAGAGGAAGGAAAAGUCG